CUCGUAGGUGGUUUGUCGCGUUGUUCGUGAAAACUCACAGCUUAACUGUGGGCGUGCGGGCGAUACGGGCAGACUGGAGUACUGCAGGGGAGACUGGAAUUCCUGGUGUAGCGGUGGAAUGCGCAGAUAUCAGGAGGAACACCGGUGGCGAAGGCGGGUCUCUGGGCAGUAACUGACGCUGAGGAGCGAAAGCGUGGGGAGCGGACA
rnacentral:rRNA from 1 species